rnacentral:lncRNA from 1 species
CAGUAAGCUGGUUGAGUAAUGGAAUAUUUUAAUAGAAUGGAAUAAUUUCUUUUCAGAAAGGGGACGCAGACACACCAGACCCAGUGCAGAGAGGAAUGAGUACACAGCUCUUCGCCAGUGCGUUCUUGCCGGACAGAAAGUUUAUGUCUAAUAAUGAAGAUGUUGGGAAAAAACAUAAAAUAGAGAAAUGAAAUACAGAGUUCAAGAAAUCGCAGUGUGACAAAAAAUAAAUAAAUAAAUAAAUAAAUAAAUAAAAAUAUAUAUAUAAAAAGAGAAAGCAGAGGAAAACAAAUCAAAUAUCCUCGGUGGACUUAGUAUCACCUGAAUGAUCGUUAACAAAACCCAGGUUGAAUAUUACCGAUGAUCCAGCGGGAAGUGCUUACAGGAAGCUGAUUGAAGUUCCGCUCAUGUGGAGGCUGAGGUUGGCUACUGCUUAUCCUGUUCAUCCAUCCUUGCCUGCCUGCGUGCCUGCCCGAGCGUCCUCAAACUCCAAAGUUAUUCCUGAAAUUUGGCUGUUAUAGAAUAAGAGAUAAAGGAAUUAUGUACUACAUAAUGAAUUAGAGAACUAGAACAUAACAAUCGGCAGUGAUUAUUGACUGUCUGAGUGCUGAAGUUGGUGCUAUAAGUGAAUAUGUAUAUAACGUUGUAUUUAUUCAGUUUGAUGGUGAAUAGGUGUACAUAGCCUGUAAGGAAGUUAACCAUAUUGAGAAUUACACGUCGCUCAGUGAGAGAACGAGUCCAACAACCUUAGACAUCCGUGCAGUGGCCACCUGGAUCGCGCACGGAAUGUUGUCGCUCUGAUAUCUAGGCUGCCAACUGCUAACGCUUAAGGACGUGUUGAUCACUGGUGUAAUGUGCAAUAUUCCUUUGCAAUAUCCAGUGCAUUCACACAAAGACCGUGCCCCCUGAUUUACCUUUCCAAGACCAAACUAUCCCAGAAAAACCGACAUGUGUCUGAAACUCAAUUUUGUGAGCCGAUUUAACGGAAAUAUAUUUUCAUUGUCUUUGAUUUUUAGGGUAAUAUUUCUAUCAAUAUGAUAGAUGUAAGAAAACUAUGAAAAGUCAUUGAUUUAAGUCUUACGUUAGCCGGACCAUUUAAUAUGAUAUGACAAAAAAUAGAGGUAAAAACAAAAAGUAUGUUUGUAAACAAAUGAGACGUUUAUGAACGUAAAAAUGGCAAAUCUAGUUCUCGAUUUCUUUAUUUUGUUUCUUUUACGUCAAUCAAAGUGUACUUAAGCAAGCUUUUGUUUAUGCAUAAGGAUUCAGUUCCUGAGGAAACGUGUGAAUAACUUUUCCAAUACAGGUGAUUUUCAUAUCUCUAAGGUUCGCAGUUAAGUAAAGCGCUCCUCACUUCUUACUUUUGGUUUGGUCUCUUGAAGUAUCUGCGCAUCAGUUUUUAAGUAUUCCACAUCAAACGCAUAAUGGGACUGAAAUAACGUAUGCAAGGGCUUGUCUGUUUUCUUUUUUGUAUAAUAGAUUUCUUCGAUAUAAAACCGGUCCGGCGAUGAAAAGACCUAAUAAGGUGUAGAUUGUACAUAUACUACAUAUUAGAUAUUUAUAUAUUAUGCAUAUAUUUCUUAUUUUAUGUCUCAACGCAUGUCUCGUCAUUUGUAUUAGGGGUAUUGAUUUUGAUUUUUUUCUCUUUGUGUUUCAUGUCACCAGACUCAGGUAUAUUAUUAGUAGGCAUGUAGGCCUAUUGUCUGUAAGCAUUCUUACUUCCCCAUUCAUACUGUGUAACUUUCUAAAUGGAAUAAAGUUUAUCGUUUUCAA